GAUGAACGCUGGCGGCGUGCCUAAUACAUGCAAGUCGAGCGAACGGACGAGAAGCUUGCUUUUCUGAUGUUAGCGGCGGACGGGUGAGUAACACGUGGAUAACCUACCUAUAAGACUGGGAUAACUUCGGGUAACCGGAGCUAAUACGGUAUAAUAUUUUGAACCGCAUGGUUCAAAAGUGAAAGACGGUCUUGCUGUCACUUAUAGAUGGAUCCGCGCUGCAUUAGCUAGUUGUUAAGGUAACGGCUUACCAAGGCAACGAUGCAUAACCGACCGGAGAGGGUGAUAGGCGACACUGGAACUGAGACACGGUCCAGACUCCUACGGGAGGCAGCAGUAGGGAAUCUUCCGCAAUGGGCGAAAGCCUGACGGAGCAACGCCGCGUGAGUGAUGAAGGUCUUCGGAUCGUAAAACUCUGUUAUUAGGGAAGAACAUAUGUGUAAGUAACUGUGCACAGCUUGACGGUACCUAAUCAGAAAGCCACGGCUAACUACGUG
rnacentral:rRNA from 1 species